AUGUAAUGUAAUUCCUACAACAUUAAUGCAUUGGAUCCCAUUAGAAAUCCGCAGUUAAGCGCACUUGGGAUAGAGUAAUACUAGGAUGGGUGACCUCCCAGAAAGUCCUAGUGUUUUACAUG
rnacentral:rRNA from 1 species